rnacentral:sRNA from 1 species
CCCUAGCCCCGAUAGUAGUGGAAAUCCUUUUUAUUUUUUCUUUAAAAAUAAAAAGAUUGCAACGAAUAGCGGGAAAUAGC